rnacentral:rRNA from 1 species
GUUUGAUCCUGGCUCAGGACGAACGCUGGCGGCGUGCCUAAUACAUGCAAGUCGAGCGAGCCGAACUAAUUGACUACCUUCGGGUAUGAAGUUAGGGAAGUGAGCGGCGGAUGGGUGAGUAACACGUGGGUAACCUACCCUAUAGUCUGGGAUACCACUUGGAAACAGGUGCUAAUACUGGAUAAAAGGAGAGAUCACAUGAUUUCUCUUUGAAAGGCGGCGUAAGCUGUCGCUAAAGGAUGGACCCGCGGUGCAUUAGCUAGUUGGUAAGGUAACGGCUUACCAAGGCAACGAUGCAUAGCCGAGUUGAGAGACUGAUCGGCCACAUUGGACUCGAGGAGACACGGCCAAACUCCUACGGAGGCAGCAGGUAGGGAAUCUUCCACAAUGGACGCAAGUCUGAUGAGCAACGGCCGCGUGGAGGUGAAGAAGUUUCGGAUCGUAAAGCUCUGUUGUUGGUGAAGAAAGAUAGUGAGAGUAACUGCUCAUUAUUUGCCCGGUAAUCAACCCAGAAAGUCACGGCUAACUACGUGCCAGCAGCCGCGGUAAUACGUAGGUGGCAAGCGUUGUCCGGGAUUUAUUGGGCGUAAAGCGAGCGCAGGCGGAAAGAUAAGUCAGAUGUGAAAGCCCUCGGCUUAACCGAGGAAUAGCAUCGGAAACUGUCUUUCUUGAGUGCAGAAGAGGAGAGUGGAACUCCAUGUGUAGCGGUGGAAUGCGUAGAUAUAUGGAAGAACACCAGUGGCAAAAGCGGCUCUCUGGUCUGUAACUGACGCUGAGGCUCGAAAGCAUGGGUAGCGAACAGGAUUAGAUACCCUGGUAGUCCAUGCUGUAAACGAUGAGUGCUAAGUGUUGGGAGGUUUCCGCCUCUCAGUGCUGCAGCUAACGCAUUAAGCACUCCGCCUGGGGAGUACGACCGCAAGGUUAAAACUCAAAGGAAUUGACGGGGGCCCGCACAAGCGGUGGAGCAUGUGGUUUAAUUCGAAGCAACGCGAAGAACCUUACCAGGGUCUUGACAUCUAGUGCCAACCUAAGAGAUUAGGCGUUCCCUUCGGGGACACUAAGACAGGUGGUGCAUGGCUGUCGUCAGCUCGUGUCGUGAGAUGUUGGGUUAAGUCCCGCAACGAGCGCAACCCUAUUAUUAGUUGCAGCAUUAAGUUGGGCACUCUAAUGGAGAACUGCGGUGACAAACGGAGGAAGGUGGGGAUGACGUCAAGUCAUCAUGCCCCUUAUGACCUGGGCUACACACGUGCUACAAUGGGCAGUACAACGAGGAGCGAACUUGUGAAGGCAAGCGAAUCUCUGAAAGCUGUUCUCAGUUCGGACUGUAGGCUGCAACUCGCCUACACGAAGCUGGGAUCGCUAGUAAUCGCGGAUCAGCACGCCGCGGUGAAUAC